GUGGCAUUUUGUUUUGUAUAUUUCUCAUUCUUGGGUCCACUACCAGAGGCCUAAGAGUCUGCAGGUCAUUUACAGUAGCUUACCUGGUCUUAGAACUGCAAUGUUCUAAACAGAGAUCUCAGUUAUACCACCUGGAAGCCACUCUCCAAACUUGGGCAUUAAAGGACUGAGUGCUCCUUUCACAUCUGGACUACUAUUGCCUGUACUUUUCAUUUCUAGUUCCUCUUUCAGCAUUUGGUAUUUGUCCAUCAUCUCAUUUACCUUCUUCAUGAUGCUAUGUUAUAUUACAUUAUAUUAUUGGAC